GAUGAAGAACGCAGCGAAAUGCGAUAACUAAUGUGAAUUGCAGAAUUCAGUGAAUCAUCGAAUCUUUGAACGCACAUUGCGCCCUAUAGUAUUCUGUAGGGCAUGCAUGUUCGAGCGUCAUUUGUACCUUCAAGCUUUGCUUGGUGUUGGGUGUUUGUCCUCUCCCUGGUGUUUGGACUCGCCUUAAAACAAUUGGCAGCCAGUGUUUUGGUAUUGAAGCGCAGCACAAUUUGCGAUUCUGGCCUUAAAAUACUAGCGUCCAUAAGUACAUUCUCACUUUUGACCUCGGAUCAUGUAGGGAUACCCGCUGAACUUAAGCAUAUCAAUAAGCGGAGGA
rnacentral:misc_RNA from 1 species